CACAGGAAUAUCAUCACAUUUGUUGUGUGCUGCCACAUACACACGCAUCACUUUAUCCAGUAAUAGCCACAGGCAUGUAUGGUAAAAGGGAGGCUAUGCUUUUUUCAUUUAUUUUUUUGCUGAUUGGUUGUGAUCAAAUGUUCACAAGACCAGAGGAGGUUUAAAAGGGGAGAUUUCUAGACGUCUGUCAGAAGCGUCAACAUCAGCUAAUACUGCUUUCCUCCAGACGAACACAGCAACAUUUACAGUACAGAGGCCGGCUGAUCAGAGCAGACAAGAUGAACAUCGUUCUGCUGAUCGCCGUUGUGCUCACUCUUUCCGUUGUUGAUGGGAACAAUCAGCCUUGUCUGUGGAACCCUGACAACAAUGCGUACAACAAAUUUGUUCAGAGACACAUCAUCCAAGAACCCUUUGACAGAUCAUCAUGGCUUGACUGGCAAAACUACAUAUGGAAGUACGGACUCAGCCACAGACCCAGGCAGUCCUUCAUCGAGGGCUGGGAUGUGGGAAGUGUCGCGUACAUCUGCAAUGGCGGUGGCUACCCCAUUUUGCCUCCUCAACCAGGUAACUUAUGCAUGAGCUCCUUUCGCUUGCUGGUGUAUGAUCUCACAGUCGACAACAACGGCAGAGUUACAAGUCUCAUGCAAAACGUACAACAUGUGAUCGUGGCUUGUGAUGUGGUUGUCAAUCAGUGCCUUCCUGUCCAUUUUGAGAGGUACUUCAACCAAAUGCCAGACUGGACAGCUGGACCCUGCAUGCCUGCAUGAGAAACCGCUUAGAACAGGCAAAAUCUAGCUAAAGCUUUUUUUACUUUUAACUGAUUUGUUUCUUAAAACUUAUCGUCACCUUACCUCAAAGUUUAGAGUUCAGUUGUGUAUAUAAAACUGUUUGGUGUCCUUUUUCCUGAUGAGUUCAAUUCAUACUAUUGUCUACUAUGUUGGGUUUUGGUCUCCACACCUCAUGACUAACGUUCGCUAUUUUAUGUCAAGAUGACGUUGGCAUGAGACUUUUGGAAGAUUUGCGUUACUUAACGACACACCUUGAAACCAACCAAAUAUCAACGCCACCUGUCCUCAGUAUUCUACAUGAAAUUGUCCUGACAUUGAAUUUUGGUCACCUGACAUCACAACCUAAAUUCAUUCAAAUAUCAACAUCUAACAACAUCAGUGUCCAGAGGGGUGUUCCAGGUAGGAGGUUCAACAAACUCUGAGUGUAACCCUGAACUCUGAGUUGAUUUACCCUGAGAUGGGAAACUCUGAGUUACGGGUUCCAGAACAGCUGAUUUGAGUUAGUUCAGUCAACUCUGAGUAUGUUCACUCUGAGCUAAGCCGACAAUAAAAAGCCAUCAGUAGCAGACGGUGCACGUUUAUCUUUAAAAGAAGAGCCUGAGUCAGAGCGAGGAAAGUGUAAAUAAGUUAACCAUAAAGUUAAUAAAAAAGUUUAUUCAUCAUUUAUCAGACUUACAUUUCCUUAAUGAAGCUAAAGUGGUGGAAUCUGACUGUGUAUCAGGCUGUAGAUACAUUACAUUAUAUUAAUAAUAUAUAAUAAUAUAUUUGUUCAGAUAUAAUCUGAUGGGGAAAAACACAGGAGGCAGAAGAUUUAAAACAUAUAGGCUAGGCUAUAGAUCAAAGACAUAAAGACAUGACUGUAAACUCACAGUCUGACCCAGUAAUAAUAUGUUUGGUGAUUUGCACUUGAAAAGACGUUGAGGUUAAAAUACAGUAGAUUUGAAAAUGUUGCAUAUCUAUUUGUUUCUUGACUCAACAGCAUUCAGUGACUUUAUUUCAGCUACAAAUGUAGUAAACUUAAAGACACUGAAAUGCUGCACCAUUGCUCACUCAGAAAUAUUAACACAUAAUCCCCAAUAUUAGGCUAUAGGAAUUAUGUUCCAUCAGUCCAACCAAUGACGUCAGUGAUAGAGAUCAUUAGUCAUUGAUACUACGUGUCUAAAGCUUCAUACUGAUUUUUAAAAUUUAAAUAAUUAGACCUACACAUUAUGAGCAAUAAACAUUUGGGAGCUGCUCUAACAGACUGACAGUCUGAUCCUUGUGCAGUGUUAUAAAAAAUAAUAAAUAUAAAAAGGACAGAGGUUUGAUUCUGAGCUGAGGGUGAAUUCUCGCUGUGUAAUAUUUGAAUGGAAAGACAAAAACUGAUGUCCAAAGAAGUGAUUGAUGUGCAUAAAUUCAGUAGCCUAACGUAAGACAGUCCUGAGAAACAAACUAAUAUCCAGCAGGAUUUAGACUGUGACAGACGGUAAAUCUCUGCUAAUUAAUGCGCUUCGAUACAAGCUUUGACACGGACUGAAUGAAUGAGGAAAUGAAACAGCGUGUAAGAGGGAGGAGACAGAGGAAAACUCAGGGUUUAUUGAAGAAAACCUGUCAGCGAGCAGGUUAUGUUCACAGAGUCUGUUACCAUGGUGACUGACUCAGAGUUUCAGUUACCUCUCUUUCUGGAACGGAUAACUCAGAGUUUCCCUCAUCUCAGGAUUAACUUACUCUGAGUUUUCACAUAACCCGCUUUCUGGAAUACCCCUCAGCUGAGGUUGGUGUAAAUGCCCUUCAUUUUGUCAAAAUAAAAGUCCUCCGCUACUUUAAUGUUUUUAUUGGCAAAUGCACAUGGUUUAAAUAUUAAUGGACACAUGUCACCUGUCAAUAUCUACACCUGUGUUAAACUGUUUGGUAUCCUUUUUCAUGAUGAGGUCAAUUCUAUCACUCUGUAUAAUCCUCUUAUUGUGAAACUAAUGUUCUCUACAUAUGUAUGUGUGUGUAUCUAUUCAUCUAUUCUCCAUGACAGGAUCUGUUGUGAAGCUGUAUUAGAAUCCUGUUUGUUUUGCUUUUGUUUAUAAUCAAAUAAAUGGCUUACAGCUGCAUCAAUCAA